UUAGAUACCCUAUUAUACUUGGAUAAAACUUCUUAGGGGAGUAGUUGUUAUAAUCUUGGAACCUAAAAGGUAUGGCGGUAUUUAGUUGAAUCAGAGGAACCUGCCUAGUAAGCGAUACCCCACGUUAUAUCUUACCUCUUUUAGGUUUGUAUACCGUCGUCUUAGUUAUAUUGAUAGAUCAAAGCUAUAAGUAGAGAUAAAAAAUUCAGACCCAGGCGCAGCUUAAAGAGGUUAAGGUGGGUUACAUUUAAAUUUUUAAUGGAGAGAGAGGGUAUUUUCUCUAAGAAAUAGGAUUUGAAAGUAAUUUGAGUUAAUAAGCUCAGA
rnacentral:rRNA from 1 species